rnacentral:rRNA from 1 species
AUUGAACGCUGGCGGCAGGCUUAACACAUGCAAGUCGAGCGAGCGGCGGACGGGUGAGUAAUGUCUGGGAAACUGCCUGAUGGAGGGGGAUAACUACUGGAAACGGUAGCUAAUACCGCAUAACAUCAGAUGUUACCAGAUGGGAUUAGCUAGUAGGUGGGGUAAUGGCUCACCUAGGCGACGAUCCCUAGCUGGUCUGAGAGGAUGACAGUCCACACGGGAACUGAGACACGGUCCAGACUCCUACGGGAGGCAGCAGUGGGGAAUAUUGCACAAGGGGCGCAAGCCGGAUGCAGCCAUGCCGCGUGAGUGAAGAAGGCCUUCGGGUUGUAAAGCACUGUCAGCGAGGAGGCGUUACUCGCAGAAGAAGCACCGGCUAACUCCGUGCCAGCAGCCGCGGUAAUAC